GUGCUUGCUUCGGCAGCACUUAUAUAUUAAAAUUGGAACAUUACAGAGAUUAGCACAACCUCUGUCAAGGAUGACACGCAAAUUCGUGAAAUGUUCAAUGUUUUC